rnacentral:rRNA from 1 species
AUACGAAGGUCCCAAGCGUUGUUCGGAUUUACUGGGCGUAAAGCGUCUGUAGGCGGCGUGGUAAGUCAGAUGUGAAAUCCCGGGGCUCAACCCCGGAACUGCAUCCGAUACUGCCAUGCUAGAGUAUUGGAGGGGAGUCUGGAAUUCUCGGUGUAGCAGUGAAAUGCGUAGAUAUCGAGAGGAACACUAGUGGCGAAGGCGAGACUCUGGACAAUAACUGACGCUGAGAGACGAAGGCCAGGGUAGCGAAAAGGAUUAGAAACCCUAGUAGUCC